UCAGAUGGCCUCCAAAGAGAGUUGAGAUCUCUAAUUUCUAAAGACAGUGAAGCUUCAGGAUGUUCUGCCUGUGGAUGUGUUUGAGUCUGCUCUAUGCUCUACAAAGCCGUGUCUCAUCAGAUCAAGCAGUGUUACUGAUUUGCAACAAGACUGUGGAAGUUACACCUGGA